UACGUAGGUGGCAAGCGUUGUCCGGAUUUAUUGGGUUUAAAGGGUGCGUAGGCGGUCCUAUAAGUCAGUGGUGAAAUAUCGCAGCUCAACUGUGAGGGUGCCAUUGAUACUGUAGGACUUGAGUGAAUUUGAGGUAGGCGGAAUUGACGGUGUAGCGGUGAAAUGCUUAGAUAUCGUCAAGAACACCGAUAGUGAAGACAGCUUACCAAGCUUCAACUGACGCUGAGGCACGAAAGUGUGGGGAUCAAACAGG
rnacentral:rRNA from 1 species